UUUGAUUUAGCAUAUAUUAAUAAUGCUUUAUAAUUGUUACUUAUAAGAAAGUUUUUUACUAAUCAAGG
rnacentral:tRNA from 1 species